rnacentral:rRNA from 1 species
ACUCCUACGGGAGGCAGCAGUGGGGAAUUUUCCGCAAUGGACGAAAGUCUGACGGAGCAAUGCCGCGUGAGUGAUGAAGGUUUUCGAAUCGUAAAGCUCUGUUGUAAGGGAAGAAUAGCAAGAAUAGGAAAUGAUUCUUGNCUUGACGGUACCUUACCAGAAAGCCACGGCUAACUACGUGCCAGCAGCCGCGGUAAUACGUAGGUGGCAAGCGUUAUCCGGAAUUAUUGGGCGUAAAGCGCAUGUAGGCGGCUUUUUAAGUCUGAUGUGAAAGCCAGUGGCUCAACC